GCACAGACAUGGAAUGGGAAGAAAUAUGCAAGACGGUCCUUGUGUCUGCAGGAGCUGGUGGAACUGUGAUUCUGACUCCUGCCAUUCUGGCUUCACUGGGGUUCACUUCAGCUGGAAUAGCAGCAGGAGGUCUCGUAGCAACCUUGCAGUCCUGGAGUGCAGCAGGUAUGUCAUGGGCUGCCACUGCAUUAUUUGGCGGUGUUGGUGGAGCAGCGGCUUGGGUGCUCUCAACUGUGUGUAACGUGACUGUGGUUUAUGAAGAUUAACACGUAAAAAAACACAAACUGACCUACAAAUGUUUUCUCCUGUGACAAAUUUUAAUCGCCUGGAUGAAACGUUAUUCUUAUGUGUGAAUGUCGAACACUGAGAUUAAAGCAUAUUUUGAGAAUUAAGUUACAAAAAUGGUUCAUAAAAAUUUCAUUCAGAUUUUAUCCAUCAUUAAAAACAAAAACAAAAAACAACUGAUAUGGUGCCUUUAUUCUCUUCAUUAAUUCAAUGUGAAAAUUAAAAGUCAUGCAAAAAU
ensembl:lncRNA